rnacentral:sRNA from 1 species
GCUGGGCAUGGUGGUGCAUGCCUGUAAUCCCAGUGGCUCAGGAGGCUGAGGCAGGAGGAUCACAAGUUCAAAGCCAGCCUCAGCAACUUAGCAAAGUUGUAAGCAGCCUGGUGAGACCCUGUCUCAA